rnacentral:rRNA from 1 species
UACGGGGGGAGCAAACGUUGUUCGGAAUCACUGGGCGUAAAGGGCGUGUAGGCGGCUGAAUAAGUGGGAUGUUAAAUCCCCCGGCUCAACCGGGGAACUGCAUCUCAUACUGUUCAGCUUGGGUACAGCAGAGGAGACUGGAAUUCCCGGUGUAGCGGUGAAAUGCGUAGAUAUCGGGAGGAAGACCAGUGGCGAAGGCGGGUCUCUGGACAGUUCCUGACGCUGAGGCACGAAGGCCAGGGGAGCAAACGGG